rnacentral:miRNA from 1 species
ACGGCUAAUUACACUUGUUCUGCACAUGUGGAAAACAUUUAGCACUCCGUAUGAGUCGUAAUCACAAACAUUAUAUACAGAAUAAUAAAAGAUCAUUAAAAAGAAUUCAGUCAU